UUUCAGGAUAUGUUCCUGAUGCAGCAUAGCCUUCUAAUCCAUUCUUGACUGAACUGAUACAAAGUCUCAAAGAUGCAUUCGUGAAGAAGGAAGUCACCGCUGUCAAGAUCAGUAUUGUUCUCCAGGACAGCAGCAUUAGAGUUCUGUCCGAAGCUUGUGGACCUACAGGAUGUUGAACCCUCAGCCACAGUGAUGUUCUGACUGGUUGUGUUUGAACACCAUGCCAAGAGCUGACUGAUCUAAACCUUUACCAGAACAGAAAUUCAAUGUCCAUCAAA